rnacentral:lncRNA from 1 species
UGUUCUAGUAAGUUCAGUCAAACAAUGACAUUAAUGAUUCUUUCCAGCUUUGACACAAGCAUUUUGAUGAGACGAGGAAGUCGACUACAUCGAUUCCAAACUAGUCUACCAUAGCGGGAUUUGAACUCAGAACGUAAAGAACCGGAAGAAAUGCUGUUAGGCAUCUGUCCGACACUCUUAGAAGUUGGCCAGUUCACCUCCUAAACAAUACCCGCAUUAAUAUGUUCACGACCAUCUUGUUUACUGGUUUCUCUGGACUCUCCGCAGCAUACUUGAUGAGAAGAAGUCCUGUAAGGGAGAUCCAUUAUGAUUCUCUGACAGCGAAGCGUAACCGUUUCUGGGAGUACGAGGAGGAAAGAAAAAGAGUCGCAACUGGACAAUAUGGUGCUGGAUUACCUCAUUAGAAACCUAGAAGUAUGUCGCUUGCCAUAACAUAUCAUACAUGUCCAUCGUCUAGUGGAUGAAAUAGAUUUCGUUUCCGUAAAACAACGAACCAGCUGACCAGUCGAAGAAGGCCACACUACGUAGUCGUUCAACCAGCUAGAAAUAGCAACCGCUCCUCCCUCAAAUUCGUCUUAAAUGAAGGAAGAACUGAAUAUUAUAAUCACUGAUACACAGAAACAAAAUCGGAGUAGAUCACACUUGGAAUGAUAUUGGCUCAAUUGGAAUUGUAUUAAGGAAUAACAAGCAAGUGCUCUAUAUAAUUUAUACUAAACUUGAAACUUGCAGGGUAUCUUCAUAGCAAUGUUUAAGUUGUCUAAGUGUAAUUCUUCUUACCAUUCAGAAUUGUUCCUCCUCAUUCCUCCAUCUCUCUCUCUCCCUCAUUUUCUUUCUCUCUCUAAGCUAACAGAGUUUAAACAUAAAUUAAUGGAUACAUCUCGACAGGUGUUGCAUUAUCAUCGUUGGCGUUGACUAUCGGCAGUUUUAAAAGAUUAAUGGGUAACCAGUUCAUAUUUCACUUUCACAUAUUGUUACUUAGGCUGAUCUACCAAGUACAACUUGUCAUUAUUUAGUCUAUAUUCAAAGGAUAAUUACCUAACGUUAUACCUUCAAUAUUUUCUCCCUUUACAGCACUGUACCACUCUUGUAAUUCGUGCUACUGUACAAUUCUCUACUGCUAUUUACAGCCAAGAGAUUUCUAGUUCCUUACUUUAUUUUAGCCAUCACGUACAAGGCUAUGCUGAAGCAGCACCACAGAGAACUAAUUGGAGUUAUUGAGAAUUAUGUGUCUUUCUAACUAGACAGAGCAGUGAUGGUAACAAUAGAAACUGGCUACAUUUGGGCAUUCAUCCCUCUGUAAGCUAAGUCAGAAAUCAUUACUUUUUUAUAUGACUGCUUAUAUACAUACAUACAUACA